UGGGGAAUUUUGGACAAUGGGCGAAAGCCUGAUCCAGCAAUGCCGCGUGUGUGAAGAAGGCCUUCGGGUUGUAAAGCACUUUUGUCCGGAAAGAAAUCCUUGGAUCAAUACAGUCGGGGGAUGACGGUACCGGAAGAAUAAGCACCGGCUAACUACGUGCCAGCAGCCGCGGUAAUACGUAGGGUGCAAGCGUUAAUCGGAAUUACUGGGCGUAAAGCGUGCGCAGGCGGUUGCUAAGACCGAUGUGAAAUCCCCGGGCUCAACCUGGGAACUGCAUUGGUGACUGGCAGGCUAGAGUAUGGCAGAGGGGGGUAGAAUUCCACGUGUAGCAGUGAAAUGCGUAGAGAUGUGGAGGAAUACCGAUGGCGAAGGCAGCCCCCUGGGCCAAUACUGACGCUCAUGCACGAAAAGCGUGGGGAGCAAAACAGGAUUAGAUACCCUGGUAGUCCACGCCCUAAAACGAUGUCAACUAGUUGUUGGGGGAUUCAUUUCCUUAGUAACGUAGCUAACGCGUGAAGUUGACCGCCUGGGGAGUACGGUCGCAAGAUUAAAACUCAAAUGAAUUG
rnacentral:rRNA from 1 species